CAGUAGGUGGAUGAGUGUGUGUAACGAGUGUAUUAAUGUGUGUGAGGGAAAUAAAGGGGUGUGAGGUAUGACGGGCCAGCCUGCCGCAGCUCACCCCUGGCCUGUUAAACCUUCCGUCAGACUUAAACUAGGCAGUGGCGGUUAGGUCUGACCAGCGGACAUGAAAGCAUAGUCAUGUGGCUCCAUUCACUGCCACGGGUGACUUAUGGUGACGAGAAAUAAAUUAAAUAAUGGCUAAUAUAUACGGACGUCCGGAUCAUCAGUCUGCUUAUAUUUUUUAAAAAGUUGAAUUUUGGCGGGUUUUCAUUUCACGGAAGAGUUCAUUUGUUAAUAUUUCGUCAUGCGGGUUACGUUGAAACUAAAUAUUACGAGUAUGACUAAAUAAAAAGCCGAAAUAAUGUAAAAAAAAAUAUAAAAAAUAAUGAAGGUACCGUGGAUUGGCAACACUUCCGAUGUAAACAGACAGCUGAUCACGGGUCCUGAGGCAGGCAAGGAGAUAAAAAUAAUAAUAAACGAAGGAAAUAGGUUAUUACCACGUAGUGUGUAAUGGCUUAAACUAUAAUAAAACCUAAAUUUUUAUAGGCCUGGCAUUUCAGUGGGAUUUCUGUUUUUAUUGGAUUUUUUGUUGCCCUUGGCUCGUGUCACUCCUUCAGAAAAAGGAGAAAAGGUGGACUUGGAAUCUCUCAGGGGAAACUACAUGUAGUAAUUGAAUUAAAAUGGCUAGAACCAGAGGAUGGGGUUGUGCGUCCCCGGGAGUUCAGAGGGUGCCGGCGCUUCAACUGAUGGUGUGGACCCAUGAGACAGAGGCUCCACCAGGUGGUAACACAAGCAGCGGGUGGAAGAGACCUUGGGAGACUUCCGUAACUCAGAAGCAAGAAGCUGGAGCCUUGUGACUGACUGGUGGUUUUGACUGCAGGCACCAACAUUCAGGGUAACAGGGACGUGAGGGGUCUCCAGCAGCAUGCCUGAAGAUACUUGUGUGUGGACGAGGGACACACACUCAAGAACCACAAGUCCCUGAACACCUUUCCCCCCAUGAACUGGCUGCUGUUUACUGGGACACACCCUUGCAGAACAGCCUGGCGGAGCUCUGGGCCCUUCUGAACUUCCUAAUGCUGGAUAAUUUUGAGUCCUUGUCCAAUGUGAGUGAGAUGCAGGAGGGAAGUGAGGAGAGGACUCUGAGGGCAGGAAUGGGAGGGCCAGGCCAUCUCCACUCUAAUGAAGAUAAGAGAGAGGGAAUGUGGGUGUGUUUGGGAGUGUUUUGGUGGCUUUGGGUAGGUUUGGGUGUGUUUGGGGAGUUUUUUAUGAUUAUUUAAAGAGGUUUUUUUGGGCUGGAGAGGAGUUUUUUGGGCUGGAGAGGAGUUUUUUGGGCUGGAGAGAAUUUUUUUGGGGGGUCUGGAGAGGAGCUUUUUGGGCUGGAGAGAAAUGUUUUGGGCUGGAGAGAAGGUUAUGUUUUGGGCUGGAGAGAAGGUUUUGUGGGCUGGAGAGAAGGUUUUGUGGGCUGGAGGGAAGUUUUUUUUGGGCUGGAGAGGAGUUUUUUGGGCUGGAGAGGAUCGUUUCAGGUCAGGUGGUUAAACACUACCGUCUAUCUAGUGGCUAUUGUAGGCUGUAUCUCUCUCUCUCUCUCUCUCUCUCUCUCUCUCUCUCUCUCUCUCUCUCUCUCUCUCUCUCUCUCUCUCUCUCUCUCUCUCUCUC